UACAGAGGAUGCAAGCGUUAUCCGGAAUGAUUGGGCGUAAAGCGUCUGUAGGUGGCUUUUUAAGUCCGCCGUCAAAUCCCAGGGCUCAACUCUGGACAGGCGGUGGAAACUACCAAGCUGGAGUACGGUAGGGGCAGAGGGAAUUUCCGGUGGAGCGGUGAAAUGCGUAGAGAUCCGGAAGAACACCGGUGGCGAAGGCGGUCUGCUGGGCCAAAACUGACGCUGAGGCGCGACAGCGUGGGGAGCAAACAGG
rnacentral:rRNA from 1 species